GACGUAGGGGGCGUGCGUUGUCCGGAAUUACUGGGCGUAAAGAGCGUGUAGGCGGGUAUUUAAGUCAGGUGUGAAAUACUGGGGCUCAACCUCGGGGCUGCACCUGAAACUGGGUAUCUUGAGGGCAGGAGAGGGAAGUGGAAUUCCUGGUGUAGCGGUGAAAUGUGUAGAUAUCAGGAGGAACACCGGUGGCGAAGGCGGCUUCCUGGACUGACCCUGACGCUGAGACGCGAAAGCGUCGGGAGCAAACAGG
rnacentral:rRNA from 1 species